GCGCGAGUGGCGGAAUUGGCAGACGCGCUGGAUUUAGGUUCCAGUGUCUUCGGACGUAGGGGUUCAAGUCCCCUCUCGCGCACCA
rnacentral:tRNA from 2 species